rnacentral:lncRNA from 1 species
CGCGCGGCGGAGGGGGGGGUGGGGCCUUGGGGCCGCGAGUGGGAGCGGGAGCGGUUCUGCGGCCUCCUCGGGCUUCUUGGCCCUGGGCGGAGUGGGAUUGGGUGUCCCGGCUGUUCGCAGUGGCCGCGAGUGCGGCCGGACCUGGAGUAGUACCUGAGCCGCUCUGGCCGAGCAAGGCGCGGGGCCCCGGUCUACACCGCGCUGGACCCGGCUAUGCCGUGACGGAAUUCCCGAGGCCGUAGCGCCACGCGAGACGCGCACUGGUGGCCUCCGCGCUCGCCUCCCUUCCGCCAAGAUUCACAGAACACGGCAGAGUGGCCUCGGGAUCACCUGCCCAAGACACCUGCACGACCGGAAGUUGGGAGAAGAAAUUAAGGCCAUGAUGAUGAACGCAGCCUUUCUCGUUUAUUUCCAAUCCCACAACAAACCGGAGUCCAGGAACUCAUGGGAGGCCGAGGUGGGCGGAUUGCCUGAGUUCAGGAGUUCGAGACCAGCCUGGGCGACACGGUGAAACCCCGUCCCUACUAAAAUACAAAAAAUUAGCCGGGCGUGGCGGCACGCGCCUGUAGUCCCAGCUACUCAGGAGGCUGAGGCAGGAGAAUGGCUUGAACUCGGGUGGGGGAGGUUGCAAUGAGCCGAGAUCGCGCCGCUGCACUCCAGCCUGGGCGACAGAGCGAGACUCUGUCUCUGAAAAAAAACAAAACAAAACGAGAAGGCUUUCAAAAUUACUCUGCGGUACACUAAUUUAACAGAUUAGAUCACUUUCCAGGCUUUAAGUUGGCCUUUGUUCUACCCUUUUUUUAGUGUAUGAUAAAAGUUGUGUUGGUUCGUUGAUCAGCAUGCAAUGAACUCUGGCUCUUGUUAAUCAGGUGACUACAGUUUUGUCCUUACAUUUGUAUGUAUGUCAUGAGUGGUUUUGUAUGGGCAGGAGGUAAACAACGCACAUUUAAAUAUACUUAAUGAUUUAUCAUUCCAAUGUUUUCUGGUUGUUUUAGUCUUUCAUUUGUCUCUUGAACAAUCUGAAACAUCCCUAUUCUAAGGCUAAAAAAUUUCCUUUACAAACUUAGGUUAAACAUUCCUAAUCUGAAAUCCAAAAUGCUCUAAAAUUCGAAUUUUUUUGAGUACUGACGUGACCCCACAAAUGGAAAAUUCCACACUUGCCCUCAUGUGACACUGGGUGACAGUCAAGUCACAAUCAAGCCUGGUGUGGUGGGCACCUGUAGUGCCAGCUACUCGGGAGGUUGAGCAGGAGGAUUGCUUGAGCCCAGGAGUUUGAGUCCAGCCUGGACGAUAUAGCCAGACCCUGUCUGUAAAAAAACAAAAACCAAAACAAAAAAAACAAUGAAAACAUUUUUUUUUAAAACGCCAUCAAAACUUUGUUUCAUGCACAAAAUUAUUUAAAAUAUAUAAUAUAACCUUACCUUCAGGCUAUGUGGGUAAGGUAAGGUGUAUGUGAAACAAAUGAAUUUCCCAUUUAGACUUGGGUCCCAUCCCCAAGAUAUCUUAUUAUGUAUAUGCAAAUAUUCCAAAUCAAAAAUAUCUGAAAUACUUUUGUCCCAAGCAUUUCAGAUAAAGGUUACUCAACCUGUAAUAAAAACACUCAGUGCUUGCCUGAAGGAAAAACCAAGAAUUUGUCAUCCAUCCUUAAAUUUUUAUGACACCCUUUGUAAUCAGGAAACCUUUUAAUACCUAAGAAUAUAUUUGAUAUAUUCUGGUAUAUGUUUAUCAUUCUGAUGUUUAAUGUUCUAUGUUGGGCAUAUAUCAGUGUAAUAAAUACAUUAGAUCCAAAUACAGAUCAUGCUGCCUUUUU